GAAAUGCGAUACGUAAUGUUACUUGCCGAAUUCAGUGAAUCAUCGAAUCUUUUCACUCACCUUGCGCUCCUUGGUAUUCCUUGGAGCAUGCCUGUUUGAGUAUCAUGAAAUCUUCAAAGUAACUCUUUUGUUAACUCAAUUGGUUUCUACUUUGGUAUUGGAGGUCUUUGCAGCUUCACACCUGCUCCUCUUUGUUCAUUAGCUGGAUCUCAGUGUUAUGCUUGGUUCCACUCGGCGUGAUAAGUUAUCUAUCGCUGAGGACACUGUAAAAGGUGGCCAAGGUAAAUGCAGAUGAACCGCUUCUAAUAGUCCAUUGACUUGGACAAUACUUUUAUGAUCUGAUCUCAAAUCAGGUAGGACUACCCGCUGAACUUAAGC
rnacentral:misc_RNA from 1 species